AGCCUUAUAUUCAAAAUGAUAUUAAAUUGCAAAUUUAAAGGUGAAUAAUUUCUAAGGCUU
rnacentral:tRNA from 1 species